AUUGAACGCUGGCGGCAGGCCUAACACAUGCAAGUCGAACGGUAACAGGAAGCAGCUUGCUGCUUCGCUGACGAGUGGCGGACGGGUGAGUAAUGUCUGGGAAGCUGCCUGAUGGAGGGGGAUAACUACUGGAAACGGUAGCUAAUACCGCAUAAUGUCGCAAGACCAAAGAGGGGGACCUUCGGGCCUCUUGCCAUCGGAUGUGCCCAGAUGGGAUUAGCUUGUUGGUGGGGUAACGGCUCACCAAGGCGACGAUCCCUAGCUGGUCUGAGAGGAUGACCAGCCACACUGGAACUGAGACACGGUCCAGACUCCUACGGGAGGCAGCAGUGGGGAAUAUUGCACAAUGGGCGCAAGCCUGAUGCAGCCAUGCCGCGUGUAUGAAGAAGGCCUUCGGGUUGUAAAGUACUCUCAGCGGGGAGGAAGGGAGUAAAGUUAAUACCUUUGCUCAUUGACGUUACCCGCAGAAGAAGCACCGGCUAACUCCGUG
rnacentral:rRNA from 1 species